GACGAACGCUGGCGGCGUGCCUAAUACAUGCAAGUAGAACGCACAGUUUAUACCGUAGCUUGCUACACCAUAGACUGUGAGUUGCGAACGGGUGAGUAACGCGUAGGUAACCUGCCUGGUAGCGGGGGAUAACUAUUGGAAACGAUAGCUAAUACCGCAUAAUAUUGAUUAUUGCAUGAUAAUUGAUUGAAAGAUGCUAUUGCAUCACUACCAGAUGGACCUGCGUUGUAUUAGCUAGUAGGUGAGGUAACGGCUCACCUAGGCGACGAUACAUAGCCGACCUGAGAGGGUGAUCUGCCACACUGGGACUGAGACACGGCCCAGACGCCUACGAGAGGCAGCAGUAGGGGAGCUGCGGCAAUGGACGAAAGUCUGACCGAGCAACGCCGCGUGAGUGAAGAAUGUUUUCGGAUCGUAAAGCUCUGUUGUAAGAGAAGAACGGGUGUGAGAGUGGAAAGUUCACACUGUGGCGGUAUCUUACCAGAAAGGGACGGGUAACUACGUG
rnacentral:rRNA from 1 species